rnacentral:rRNA from 1 species
GACGAACGCUGGCGGCGUGCCUAAUACAUGCAAGUAGAACGCUGAAGAGAGGAGCUUGCUCUUCUUGGAUGAGUUGCGAACGGGUGAGUAACGCGUAGGUAACCUGCCUGGUAGCGGGGGAUAACUAUUGGAAACGAUAGCUAAUACCGCAUAAUAGCAGUUAUUGCAUGAUAACUGUUUGAAAGGUGCAAAUGCAUCACUACCAGAUGGACCUGCGUUGUAUUAGCUAGUUGGUGGGGUAACGGCUCACCAAGGCGACGAUACAUAGCCGACCUGAGAGGGUGAUCGGCCACACUGGGACUGAGACACGGCCCAGACUCCUACGGGAGGCAGCAGUAGGGAAUCUUCGGCAAUGGACGGAAGUCUGACCGAGCAACGCCGCGUGAGUGAAGAAGGUUUUCGGAUCGUAAAGCUCUGUUGUAAGAGAAGAAACGAGUGUGAGAAGUGGAAAA